CAUGCCGCGGUGAGUGAGAAGGCCUUCGGGUUGUAAGCUCUUUUGUCCGGGAGAAAUCCUAUCCGCUAAUACCGGGUGGGGAUGACGGUACUGGAAGAAUAAGCACCGGCUAACUACGUGCCAGCAGCCGCGGUAAUGCGUAGGGUGCUAGCGUUAAUCGGAAUUACUGGGCGUAAAGCGUGCGCAGGCGGUUGUGCAAGACAGAUGUGAAAUCCCCGGGCUUAACCUGGGAAUGGCAUUUGUGACUGCACGGCUAGAGUGUGUCAGAGGGGGGUAGAAUUCCACGUGUAGCAGUGAAAUGCGUAGAGAUGUGGAGGAAUACCGAUGGCGAAGGCAGCCCCCUGGGAUAACACUGACGCUCAUGCACGAAAGCGUGGGGAGCAAACAGGAUUAGAUACCCUGGUAGUCCACGCCCUAAACGAUGUCUACUA
rnacentral:rRNA from 1 species